rfam:Triticum aestivum genome assembly, contig: Triticum_aestivum_CS42_TGACv1_scaffold_543989_6DS
CUUAUACUCCCUCCGUCCAAAAAUUCUUGUCUUAGAUUAGUCUAGAUACGGAUGUAUCCAAUACCAAAACAUGACUUGAUACAUCCGUAUUUAGACAAAUCUAAGACAAGAAUUUUGGGACAGAGGGAGUAUUUC